rnacentral:rRNA from 1 species
UGCCAGCAGCCGCGGUAAUACGAAGGGUGCUAGCGUUGUUCGGAAUUACUGGGCGUAAAGAGCAUGUAGGCGGAUGAAUUAGUCAGAGGUGAAAGCCCCGAGCUCAACUGAGGAACUGCCUAUGAAACUGCCUGGCUCGAGGUCGGGAGGGGGUGGCGGAAUUCCCAGUGUAGCGGUGAAAUGCGUAGAUACUGGGAGGAACACCGGUGGCGAAGGCGGCCACCUGGACCGAUUCUGACGCUGAGGUGCGAAAGCGUGGGGAGCAAACAGGAUUAGAUA